CACCUGCAUUGCCAGAAUCAUGUAAGACUCUUCGCUAUCAAGGAGGUGUCUUGCCAGGAGUGAGAGAAGAGCAGAAGAAAGACAAAGACUGCUCCUGGGAUUCUGAGACUGAUUCCAAAGGUCAAGGGAAAGUGUUGGCCGCCUUGA